AGCAGCCGCGGUAAUUCCAGCUCCAAUAGCGUAUAUUAAAGUUGUUGCAGUUAAAAAGCUCGUAGUUGAACCUUAGGCCCGUGCGGGCGGUCCGUCCUCUGGGCGAGCACUGCCUCGUCGCGGGUCUCACCUUCUGGCGAGCGUGGAUGCCAUUCACUUGGUGUCCGCGGGAACCAGGACCUUUACCUUGAAAAAUUAGAGUGCUCAAAGCGGGCUCUUGUGCUUGAAUACAUUAGCAUGGAAUAAUGAAAUAGGACGACAGUUCUAUUUUGUUGGUUUCCGGAACGGUCGUAAUGAUUAAUAGGGAUAGUUGGGGGCAUUCGUAUUCAAUUGUCAGAGGUGAAAUUCUUGGAUUUAUUGAAGACGGACUACUGCGAAAGCAUUUGCCAAGGAUGUUUUCAUUAAUCAAGAACGAAAGUUGGGGGAUCGAAGACGAUCAGAUACCGUCGUAGUCUCAACCAUAAACUAUGCCGACUGGGAAUCGGGCGAUGUUAUUUUUCGUGACUCGCUCGGCGCCCC
rnacentral:rRNA from 1 species